rnacentral:misc_RNA from 1 species
AGCCAUGACAGCAUAUAUGGUGCAAACUUUUCCUGCAAAAUUUCCCCAUGGCUAACCAUGGGAUGCAUCUCUCCUCGUUCCAUGUUUGAUGAGCUAAAGAAAACAGCUGCCAGAACUAUUUAUGCCGCUGCAAAUCGUAACGAUGGUGGUAGCUCUCCAGACACUGGAAUGAACUGGUUGAUGUUUGAGUUAAUGUGGAG